rnacentral:pre_miRNA from 1 species
GGACAUAAAGAUGACCUUGACACAGGCACUGACUUUUUCUUCUUUGUAGUAAGUGCUACAUGUUGGGGUAAUUUUGGUGUCC